GCGGCAAGUUAACGGGCGGAGUAAACAUGUUGAGUAAUAUGGAUCCGUUUGUACGUUAUACAGCUUCCGAAUUUAUCUGGACGUAUAUACGUGAAUUAAAAAAGGCCGGUGUCCAUUUAAUUACCGGCAAAAACGGAUCUGGGAAACGGUGGCUUGCUUAUAUAUGGAUGUUGCUUUGUUUUUGUUUACGUUCGGCUUAAGGUUUCUGUAGAUCGAAAGUUGGGUCUUGUGAUUCAGGUUGAUCGUGCCAGUAUGGAUAAAGACGACGUUGUGGAGAUCAUCGUCGUGGAGGAUUCUCUGGAGUAUGAGUACAUACGUAAGAGAUCCAUACUUGUUUGAAUGGCUGGUAU
rnacentral:lncRNA from 1 species